AGCGAACGCUGGCGGCGUGCCUAACACAUGCAAGUCGAACGUGAAAUGGGGCAACCCAAAGUAAAGUGGCGUACGGGUGAGUAACACGUAGGUAAUCUACCAAAAAGUCUGGAAUAACCUGCCGAAAGGCGGGCUAAUACUGGAUAGAGCGACGGGAUCCGUAAUUGGGUCUUUCGGGAAAGGGAGCUCGCAAGAGCCUUCGCUUUUUGAUGAGCCUGCGUCUCAUUAGCUAGUUGGCGGGGUAACGGCCCACCAAGGCAGUGAUGAGUAGCUGGUCUGAGAGGAUGAUCAGCCACACUGGAACUGAAACACGGUCCAGACUCCUACGGGAGGCAGCAGUGGGGAAUCUUGCGCAAUGGACGAAAGUCUGACGCAGCCACGCCGCGUGAGUGAAGAAGGCCUUCGGGUUGUAAAGCUCUGUCGAGCGGGACGAACAUCUUUAGGGUUAACAGCCCUAGAGACUGACGGUACCGCUAAAGGAAGCACCGGCUAACUCUGUGCCAGCCGCCGCGGUAACAC
rnacentral:rRNA from 1 species